GACGAACGCUGGCGGCGUGCCUAAUACAUGCAAGUUGAGCGCUGAAGGUUGGUACUUGUACCGACUGGAUGGGCAGCGAACGGGUGAGUAACGCGUGGGGAAUCUGCCUUUGAGCGGGGGACAACAUUUGGAAACGAAUGCUAAUACCGCAUAAAAACUUUAAACUCAAGUUUUAAGUUUGAAAGAUGCAAUUGCAUCACUCAAAGAUGAUCCCGCGUUGUAUUAGCUAGUUGGUGAGGUAAAGGCCCACCAAGGCGAUGAUACAUAGCCGACCUGGAAGGGUGAUCGGCCACAUUGGGACUGAGACACGGCCCAAGCCCCUACGGGAGGCAGCAGUAGGGAAUCUUCGGCAAUGGACGAAAGUCUGACCGAGCAACGCCGCGGGAGUGAAGAAGGGUGUCGGAUCGUAAAACUCUGUUGGUAGAGAAGAACGUUGGUGAGAGUGGAAAGCUCAUCAAGUGACGGUAACUACCCAGAAAGGGACGGCUAACUACGUG
rnacentral:rRNA from 1 species